rnacentral:rRNA from 1 species
UGGGGAAUAUUGCGCAAUGGGGGCAACCCUGACGCAGCAACGCCGCGUGAGUGAUGAAGGCCUUCGGGUCGUAAAGCUCUGUCGGCAGGGACGACGGGACGUUGGGUUAAUAACCCAGAGUCUUGACGGUACCUGCAAAAGAAGCACCGGCUAACUCUGUGCCAGCAGCCGCGGUAAGACAGAGGGUGCGAGCGUUGUCCGGAAUUAUUGGGCGUAAAGAGCUCGUAGGCGGUUUGUCGCGUCGACUGUGAAAACCUGGGGCUCAACUCUGGGCCUGCAGUCGAUACGGGCAGACUUGAGUUCGGUAGGGGAGACUGGAAUUCCUGGUGUAGCGGUGAAAUGCGCAGAUAUCAGGAGGAACACCGGUGGCGAAGGCGGGUCUCUGGGCCGAUACUGACGCUGAGGAGCGAAAGCGUGGGGAGCGAA